AGUGAACGCUGGUGGUAGGCCUAACACAUGCAAGUCGAACGGCAGCACAGUAAGAGCUUGCUCUUACGGGUGGCGAGUGGCGGACGGGUGAGGAAUACAUCGGAAUCUACUUUUUCGUGGGGGAUAACGUAGGGAAACUUACGCUAAUACCACAUACGACCUACGGGUGAAAGCAGGGGAUCUUCGGACCUUGCGCGAUUGAAUGAGCCGAUGUCGGAUUAGCUAGUUGGCGGGGUAAAGGCCCACCAAGGCGACGAUCCGUAGCUGGUCUGAGAGGAUGAUCAGCCACACUGGAACUGAGACACGGUCCAGACUCCUACGGGAGGCAGCAGUGGGGAAUAUUGGACAAUGGGCGCAAGCCUGAUCCAGCCAUACCGCGUGGGUGAAGAAGGCCUUCGGGUUGUAAAGCCCUUUUGUUGGGAAAGAAAAGCAGCAGGUUAAUACCCCGCUGUUCUGACGGUACCCAAAGAAUAAGCACCGGCUAACUUCGUG
rnacentral:rRNA from 1 species